AGAGUUGAUCCUGGCUUAGGAUGAACGCUAGCGACAGGCUAACACAUGCAAGCCGAGGGGCAGCAUAAAAGUAGCAAUACUUGGUGGCGACCGGCGCACGGGUGAGUAACGCGUAUGCAACCUACCUAUCAGAGGGGAAUAACCCGGCGAAAGUCGGACUAAUACCGCAUAAAACAGGGGCACCGCAUGGUGAUAUUUGUUAAAGAAAUUCGCUGAUAGAUGGGCAUGCGUUCCAUUAGGUAGUUGGUGAGGUAACGGCUCACCAAGCCGACGAUGGAUAGGGGAACUGAGAGGUUGGUCCCCCACACUGGUACUGAGACACGGACCAGACUCCUACGGGAGGCAGCAGUGAGGAAUAUUGGUCAAUGGGCGGGAGCCUGAACCAGCCAAGUCGCCGUGAAGGAAGAAGGAUCUAUGGUUCGUAAACUUCUUUUGCAGGGGAAUAAAGUGCAGGACGUGUCCUGUUUUGUAUGUACCCUGAGAAUAAGGAUCGGCUAACUCCGUGCCAGCAGCCGC
rnacentral:rRNA from 1 species